UCUGGAUUGUCCUGGAUCAUUGCAUUGCUGCUAGUAGAGAAGUCCAUUACAUUCGAUUGUACCACAGUGUAUCAGUCUCUGUGUACAAUGUUCUCCUGGUUCUGCUCCUCUCACUCUGCAUCACUUCCUGGAGGUUGUUCCAGUCUCCAUGGAAUUCCUCCCCUUUAUUAUUCCUUUUAGCAUAAUAGUAUUCCAUCACCAACAUAUACCACAAUUUGUUCAGCCAUUCCCCAAUUGAAGGGCAUCCCCUCAUUUUCCAAUUUUUUGGCCACCACAAAGAGCGCAACUCUAAAUAUUUUUGCACAUAUAUUUUUCCUUUUGUCUCGUUGGGGUAUGUUGGACAUUUUGGUAAAUAUUGACAAUAAUAAAUCUGGGGAAACAGGAAGGAAGUAGAAUCAGUACAGUUGAGACACAGGGCACAAUAGCCUCAAUGGUACUCCUGGACAAGCCUGCUUAGGCUACAUUUGUUGCAGGACAUAUAGAGCAUUAGAGCAGAAAGAAUAUGUUGGGGAGAGAAAACAGACCACAUCAUCCAUGGAGGAAAUUUGAUAGGGUAGAAAGUGUGCUGGUUUUGAAAUCAGAGAAUUCAAACUAUUACAAUGCAUCAUGUACCACACACAAUUCAUCUCUCCAUUCCCCAUCUGAUGAGCCCCUGCUUUGUUUCCAAUUCUUUGCUGAUGGACAGAAAAAAGUGCCAUUAUGAAUAUCUUGGGCUUAUCAAGAACCAGAGAAGCAACAUCUGAGCAAGUCAGAGGCUGAAAACAGCAGACAAACUGUGUAACUGAGAGAUUCCUGAAACUGGAGAUUUGUAAGGUUGGAAGAAUCUUGAUAUUUGCAUAUGCAAUUUGGAGAUUCCCAGAAUGUCCAAUUCAAAUGCAAAACUCACGUUCAUGAAUAAGUCAUGAGCAGUGACUUGGCUCCUUCUCUCCCCCCCAAUUAUCAUUUCUCCCCCUCCUUGAGUAAUCACCAGUCAGCCAGGCUCAUCAUUUGUUUCUGACAGAGGCAGGUAAAGGUGAGUUCCUCCAGAGUUGAACGUGCUAGUUUUCUUAGCUAAGCAUACUCUGUACUCACAUUCCAGCUGGAAAGAGGGAGUGAGCUCUACAGAUCCGGAGUGCUGGGGCUUGAUCCGAAUUUUCCAGGAUGAAAACGAAAUGCCAGCAGCCUUUUCUCCUGUCAGGAGAGGCUCUCAGGGCAAUGAUAGCUAAUCCACCCCCCACUGUGUGCCCCACUCCGGCCAGGACUUUAGGUUCCCCAGGGCUUUGUAUCUCCUGCUGAUGGCGGAGGCUGAGGCUGUUAGUGUUAGGGGAGAAAUCUCUCCCCUGAGUGCAUGUGGUGGCUAACUGCUGCCAAAAUAUAUUUACUACAACUCAGAAAUGAGAGGUAGAAAUCUAGGUUUUACUAUGAUGUUCAAGCAUAGGUUCAGGCCUUAGAGAAAACCUUUAGUCUAUUAGGAUUCUCACAAGUUCUCUUACAGGCAAAAUUACACCAGGGUGACACUUCAUUCUUCUCUCCCUUCCUCCCUUCCUUCCUUCUCUCUCUUUCCUUUUCUUUCUUUCCUUCCUUCCUUCCUUCCUUCCUUCCUUCCUUCCUUCCUUCCUUCCUUCCUUCCUUCCUUCCUUCCUUCCUUCCUUCCUUCCUUCCUUCUCUCUUCACUCUUCCCUCCUUAAUGCCUUGAUUUAAUAAACAUUUAUUGAGCAUUUUACA
ensembl:lncRNA